UACGUAGGGGGCAAGCGUUGUCCGGAAUCAUUGGGCGUAAAGAGCGUGUAGGCGGUUCGGUAAGUCGGCUGUGAAAGUCCGGGGCUCAACCCUGGAAUGCCGGUGGAUACUGUCGAGCUCGAGUCCGGAAGAGGCGAGUGGAAUUCCUGGUGUAGCGGUGAAAUGCGCAGAUAUCAGGAGGAACACCAAUGGCGAAGGCAGCUCGCUGGGACGGUACUGACGCUGAGACGCGAAAGCGUGGGGAGCAAACAGG
rnacentral:rRNA from 1 species